UACGUAGGGUGCAAGCGUUAAUCGGAAUUACUGGGCGUAAAGCGUGCGCAGGCGGCUUUGCAAGACAGAUGUGAAAUCCCCGGGCUUAACCUGGGAACUGCAUUUGUGACUGCAUAGCUGGAGUACGGCAGAGGGGGAUGGAAUUCCGCGUGUAGCAGUGAAAUGCGUAGAUAUGCGGAGGAACACCGAUGGCGAAGGCAGUCCCCUGGGCCUGUACUGACGCUCAUGCACGAAAGCGUGGGAGCAAACAGG
rnacentral:rRNA from 1 species